rnacentral:rRNA from 1 species
UACGUAGGGGGCUAGCGUUAUCCGGAAUUACUGGGCGUAAAGGGUGCGUAGGUGGUUUCUUAAGUCAGAGGUGAAAGGCUACGGCUCAACUGUAGUAAGCCUUUGAAACUGGGGAACUUGAGUGCAGGAGAGGAGAGUGGAAUUCCUAGUGUAGCGGUGAAAUGCGUAGAUAUUAGGAGGAACACCAGUUGCGAAGGCGGCUCUCUGGACUGUAACUGACACUGAGGCACGAAAGCGUGGGGAGCAAACAGG